rnacentral:sRNA from 1 species
GCCGUGAGGUGUUGCCUUAAGUGGCGCAACGAGCGCAACCCCUGUCCUUAGUUGCCAGCGGAUCAUGCCGGGAACUCUAGGGAGACUGCCGGUGCCAAACCGGAGGAAGGUGGGGACGACGUCAAGUCAUCAUGCCCCUUAUGUCCAGGGCUGCACACAUGCUACAAUGCGUGGUACAAAGGGCUGCGAUCCCGUAAGGGGGAGCGAAUCCCAAAAAGCCACGCUCAGUUCGGAUCGAGGUCUGCAACCCGACCUCGUGAAGUCGGAGUCGCUAGUAAUCGCAGAUCAGCAUUGCUGCGGUGAAUACGUUCCCGGGCCUUGUACACACCGCCCGUCACACCACGAAAGUGGGUAACACCCGAAGCCGGUGGCCCAACCCUUGUGGAGGGAGCCGUCGAAGGUGGGAUCCGCGAUUGGGGUGAAGUCGUAACAAGGUAGCCGUACCGGAAGGUGCGGCUGGAUCACCUCCUUUCUAAGGAGUACUUGGCAAUCCGGGGCGCUCGACGACCGAUCGAGCGUCAGCAGUACCGGAGAGACUCCAGGUCGAUGCACUGGUUACUCUUUUGACACCCACCGGCCGGCCACGGCUAGUAGUCCUUCUUCGGAAGGGCGAACGAGUGGUACGGGCGAUGGGCCGCCAUCAGGACACACUGUUCAGCUUUGAGGGUGCGAAUCCUCGAGCACCUUGAGAACUCGAUAGCGAGCGCGAGCAUCUACAAGUCAAGUUACAAAGGGCUUACGGUGGAUGCCUUGGCGCCAGGAGCCGAUGAAGGACGCGUCUGGCUGCGAAAAGCUUCGGGGAGCUGCCGAGAGAGCUACGAUCCGGAGAUGU